rnacentral:rRNA from 1 species
CUCAUAGCGUAUAUUAAUGUUGUUGCAGUUAAAAAGCUCGUAGUUGGAUUCCUGACCUGGGGUAGCCGGUCCGCCUUGCAAAAGGUGCGCACUGAGCGGCCUCGGUCAUCCUUGAGAAGAGCGGUCCUGGCAUUCAGUUGUCGGGGUCGGGAUUCUCGACGUUUACUGUGAAAAAAUCAGAGUGUUCAACGCAGGCUUACGCCUUGAAUACAUUAGCAUGGAAUAAUGAGAUAGGACCUUGGCGGUCUAUUUUGUUGGUUUGCACGCCGAGGUAAUGAUUAAAAGGGACGGUUGGGGUUCUUCGUAUUCAAUUGUCAGAGGUGAAAUUCUUGGAUUUAUGGAAGACGAACUGCUGCGAAAGCGUCGAACAAGGACGUUCUCAUUAAUCAAGAACGAAAGUUAGGGGAUCGAAGAUGAUUAGAUACCAUCGUAGUCUUAACCAUAAACUAUGCCGAUUCAGGAUUGGCGGUCGUUUGUUCUCGACUCCGUCAGCACUGUAUGAGAAAUCAAAAUCUUUGGGUUCCGGGGGGAGUAUGGUCGCAAGGCUGAAACUUAAAGAAAUUGACGGAAGGGCACCACCAGGAGUGGAGCCUGCGGCUUAAUUUGACUCAACACGGGGAAACUUACCAGGUCCAGACAUAGUA